GCGGGAUUUAUUUUAAAUUACUUUAAAUUCGGGACCUCUGGAUUUCAUUUUUUAAAGUCCGGGAUUUCGAAAUCAGGACCCCUCCUAUUUUUUUAGUAGGUAUAUAGUAGUAGUAUGAUAUAGAGAUGAUCGAUAUAAUCUCGUUCUCGACCUUCAAGUUUUAUGGGUGAAAUAGAAUUGAGAACAGUUCUAUUCUAUAUUUGAGAUGCUACUUUCAGGGUACAUUUUUUUUUUAUUCGGUUAAUUUUUACCCAUAUAUUAUAUAUAAUUUUUAUAUAGAACAAUUUCCUUUGAGGAGACAACCAUACGAAUCAAUACUAGUAAGACAAUUCUUU
rnacentral:lncRNA from 1 species